CUAGCCUUUUAAUUGGAGGCCUGCAUGAAUGGCUUGACGAGCGCCCUGCUGUCUCUCUUCCCAUGAACUUUUAAAUUAACUUUCGCGUGCAAAGGCGCGAAUGGCUGAGUUAGACGAAAAGACCCUAUGCAUCUUUACUGAGAGAGAAGAAAGUUCUUUAGCUUGGUUUAGCUGGGGCAGCUGAGGAAAAGGCAAAAUUUCCUUAAUAUAAAUCAUACUGGUGGGUUUAGAUCCAGGCUCUUUAGCGGGCUUGACAAGUAGAAAAGUUACGCUAGGGAUAACAGCGUUAUCCUUCUGUGGAGGUCUUAUCUGCAGGAGGGAUUGCGACCUCGAUGUUGAAUUAGGGAUAUACCAGAAAGGCGCAGAAGCUUUUAUUGUGGGUCU
rnacentral:rRNA from 1 species